rnacentral:rRNA from 1 species
ACUUAAUUUAUUUAUAAUUAUAAUAAUGAAUAUUUACAUAAAUGGAACUUAAAAGUUUUUAUUAAAUAUUAUCCUUUUUGCAUAACGGGUUAACUACAAUAGGCCUAAUACUAGGUUCCCCGAAAAUAGAAGAUCUAAUUUUUACCUUAUAUUAGAAAAAUAACUUAUUAUGUGGAAUUAUAAUAGGAAGAGUAUAAAUUAGGGGCGAAAAACCUACAAUUCUACUGAUAUCUGGAUUUUAGAUUAAAAGUAUUUAGUACUUGAAACAUAUAUAGAGCAUUAAGGCUUUAUAUAGAAAGAAUAAUUAAUAGUGUAUACUUACCUAGGGCUAAUAACUCUUGUUAAUUUUAGCUAAAAUAAUUAAUUUUAUAAUUGUAUCUUUGUUUUAUCUAACUGUAGAUUACUAACUAGCGUAUCUAUUGAUAAUGUUAACAUCAGUAAUAAAUUUAUUCUUACUCAAAAUAUAGAAAAGGAACUCGGCAAAAUUCUACCUUAACUGUUUACCAAAAACAUAGCCUUAAGUUUUAUUUAAGGUGACGCCUGCCCAGUGCUGUGAGAAGUAAACGGCCGCAGUACCUUGACUGUGCUAAGGUAGCAUAAUCAGUUGGCUUUUAAAUGGAGUCGGGAAUGAAUGGAUUAAUAGGGUAAAGCUGUCUCUUUUGUACUAUAUUGAACUUACUUAUUAGGUGAAAAUGCCUAAAUUUAGAAAAAAGACGAGAAGACCCCAGGAGUUUUUACUAAUGGUUAAGUUAGUUUAACUGUUGUUUUUGUUGGGGCGACAAGGGAGAAGAAUAAACCUCCUUUAUUUAUUUGCCGACGUAGUAUGGGAAAUUAAACUACCCUGGGGAUAACAGCGUAAUUCUUAAGAGCUUGCGACCUCGAUGUUGGACUAGGAAUUUGGUAGGCUAGCCGCCUAUUUAUAUUGUUCUGUUCGAACUAUUUUUCCUACAUGAUCUGAGUUCAGACCGGCGUAAGCCAGGUCAGAUUCUAUCUUUUUAUUUUUGUCUUUAGUACGAAAGGAUUAAGAUAAAUUACUUUGU